GUACCACCUGAUCCCAUCCCGAACUCAGAAGUGAAACGCGCAUGCGCCGAUGGUAGUGUGGCUUUGCCAUGCAAGAGUAGGUCACCGCCAGGG
rnacentral:rRNA from 1 species